rnacentral:lncRNA from 1 species
UCUUUCCACGGAGGUCAGGGAGGACGUCCGCAAGCUCCGGUUGAAAGACAAGCAUGCAGGCCUAAAGGGAGAAGGAGGCAGUGGAUCAGAGGUUCUCGCAGCUUACAUGGGAAAAUACUCUCAAUGCCAAAAGCUUCUAGGACCCGUGAGAGGCUCAGCAGGAAACAAGGACCAAGAGCUACCUUCACCCCACUAACACUGAAUGGAGUGGCAUAUACCUGUACUUCUAGUACCUGGGAGGUCACAAGUUCAAGGCCAGUGUGGGAUACAAAGAAAGUUUGAGACAAAUCCACCGCUGUCCAAGGAGCUGCCUUCCACAGUGCUAACCACAGCUUUACAGUCUGUGCUCUGCAACACAAAAUAAGCACACAACGGAGUAAACAAGGGAAUAACAGCAUCCUGUCUGUGUGUGCUGACCUGACGAGCGGGUGCUACAGUGCCAGGGAUGAAGAAGAUGGCCACAGGACUCUGGAUGCUGAGUUCCGUGAUGUAGGUGAUUUUGAUGAGGACUUUAGCCCGAGGGGGUUUCUGAAAGACCUUACAGGGAUGCCUUCUGUGUUACGGCUUGGUGAAAGGUGGACAUACUGAUAGACCCUGUUGACUGACCUGAGGACCGGGCCAUGACUGGAGCAUGGGAAAAAGACAUUUUACAGAGGGAUACUGUCUACUCCCAAUGUGUGUGUUCUCUUAUCAGUCUGGCAGUCGAGUGCCUGGUGGCAGUACCAGUUCUUCUGCUUCACACAACAGCGACUUCAUUUCCUCCUUUAGACAACGCACGUGGGUAUGACUGGCUUGACCUCCUGUACUCCUAAGGGGUUUUCAUUUGUGUGUUUGAGACAAAGUCUUGCUAGGAAGCUCUGACAGGCUAGAGCUCACAGUGUAGAACAACAGGUGAGCCUUGAACUUGCAGCAAUUCUCCUGCCUCUACCUCUCAAGGGCUGAGAUUAUGGUAUAUGCCACCACGUGUGACAUUUAAGAGAAAUCUCAUAAGCUCAGAGUACUGUAAAUAAUCUUGGCUUCUAUUAUGGAUUCAUAUUGCAAAUCAUUUCCCAUAAUGCAUGGGCUACAGAAUGAGUGACAAGCUGUACCGGAGUGUCCUGGUCCAUCAAGUAAGCACCAUGGCCUUGGCUGACAGCCUCUGCCACAGAAGAUACACACCUGGGCUACGAAGUCUAUUACUCUUCCCUUAAUGUGAACACUGUCAAGAGGAACAGGAUUCGCAGAUGCAUCCUGAAGGCCGGCUUUGAUGUUUGUGAAGGGCUUGAUGUCUGGUAACUGGAAAUCUACAAGUUACAAACACAACGUCAGCUUCAGAACAAGCAUGGCUCCGUCUUCAUCGUUGGCAUCCUUACUACUUGCUCUAUUAUUGAGACAUUAUACUUCAGCAGAGAUGGACAAAUAGUAUUACACUCAUAGUAUUCGAUGAGCUUUUUGUUCAAGAUA